rnacentral:rRNA from 1 species
GAUGAACGCUGACAGAAUGCUUAACACAUCAGCAAUUGAUUGGUGGCGGACGGGUGAGUAACGCGUAAAGAACUUGCCUCACAGCAAGGGACAAUAUUUGGAAACGAAUGCUAAUACACAAUACAUUGGGAGAGCUUUGCGUCCCAUUAGAUGGUUGGAGAGGUAACGGACCACCAAGGAGAUGAUGGGUAGCCGGCCUGAGAGGGUGAUCGGCCACAAGGGGACUGAGACACGGCCCUUACUCCUACUUGAGGCAGCAGUGGGGAAUAUUGGACAAUGGACCAAAGUCUGAUCCAGGAAUUCUGUGUGCACGAUGAAGUUUUCGGAAUGUAAAGUGAUUUCAGUUGGGAAGCGGUACCAACAGAAGAAGUGACGGCUAAAUACGUGCCAGCAGCCGCGGUAAUAC